GACGAACGCUGGCGGCGCGCCUAACACAUGCAAGUCGAACGAGCGAGAGAGAGCUUGCUUUCUUGAGCGAGUGGCGAACGGGUGAGUAACGCGUGAGGAACCUGCCUCAAAGAGGGGGACAACAGUAGGAAACGACUGCUAAUACCGCAUAAGCCCACGACCCGGCAUCGGGUUGAGGGAAAAGGAGCCAUCCGCUUUGAGAUGGCCUCGCGUCCGAUUAGCUAGUUGGUGGGGUAACGGCCCACCAAGGCGACGAUCGGUAGCCGGACUGAGAGGUUGAACGGCCACAUUGGGACUGAGACACGGCCCAGACUCCUACGGGAGGCAGCAGUGGGGAAUAUUGCACAAUGGGGGAAACCCUGAUGCAGCGACGCCGCGUGGAUGAAGAAGGUCUUCGGAUUGUAAACUCCUGUUGUUGAGGAAGAUAAUGACGGUACUCAACAAGGAAGUUACGGCUAACUACGUG
rnacentral:rRNA from 1 species